AGAAUUAUUUAAAUAAAUAGUACAAGUAGAUACGAGCACGUGAUCCAUCUUACAGUUACCGAAUCACCGAGACAGAGAAAAUACAUCAAUAAUUCUCCUCUACAUUUUUUUUAUCCUUUCUUUUUCUUCUCUUUUUCUUUCCAUUAAUUUUGUUUCCCACCACUUUCACCACUUUUCUACACCACUAUGCUUUGUUUUCCAUUACCAUCAUUGCCACAAUAAUUCUUCCACUUACUCCCUCCAUGUCCUUUAACAUUUCAGUCAGUAAACUCCCUUCACCCAUUUCCUUUGACACCAGAAACCAGAAAAUUUGAAGGAAAGAAAUAGAAUUGUAAAACUGCUGCCAACUUCAAAGGAGGUAAGUUUUGGCUAAAUUUUCCCCAUUCCUCCUUUAUUCACCUGCAUUUAUUAAAACAACAGCACCUUCAAAUUCAUUUUAGUUAUUUCACACUUCAUUCGAUUCAACAACAAGCAAUCAAUUCGAUCACAUUCGAGGUAUUUACUGAGCUCAAUAUGCUAUGUCCUAUAAUGCAUAUUAUCCAUCCAAGUAUGAUCAGUAUACACAUGAAAAUAGGCUCCACAGUUUAAUAAGAAAGGAUACACCCUAGCUCGUGAUCGGACAAUUUUAGCUAUGACAUCCUCACACUGUUAAAUGUUAGCACUGACUUUUCUCACUCAACUGAAUCAAUAUGCAUACUCCUCGACACCAAUCGCGUAAACAAAAACUUAGCUUAAGAAUAGGGUCGACUGCCCUGUUUAGUCGAGCUCAAGGAAGACGACGGCGAAGCCGAAGGUUCCAGCAGCAGCGGCGUCGGGGCUCGGGGAAUCAACGACGACGGUGGCCUGGUGCUCCUACUGCUGUCGAUCCAGAGAUAGCAGUGGGUGGAUGGCGGCUGGACGAGAAGCUGGUCGGCGGAGGAAAGAGGAGGCGCUCGCCGGUCUUCCACAGACGGCAGCGGCGGCGGCACCCACUUCGGCUGAGGCCGGAUCGAGAGGGAGAGAUAGGAAGAAGGCUGGCCAACAGCAGCGGCUGGCGGCGGCGCUCCUCCAGCAAGCCGCGACUCCGGUGAAACAGCAACAGCUCCAGACAACGGCGAUAGCUCAAGGCGGUGGCGGAUCGAAGCAGCGACACGGCGAAUCUCCCGACCUUCCAGUUGCAGCGACGGCGGCGCUCUCUGAUUUGGGGAAGAAACUAGGGCUCAGGCGGCGCCUCCGUUCGAAAUCGGAGCGGUGGCGGCCGGCCGGCGCAUGGGGUACCUGUCGCACGAGAAAGAGGAGAAGGGAGAGGUGGAGACAACGUUGGGGGCUGCUUUGCCGGAGUUGAGCCGGAGGGCCGAAAGAGAGGGCGGCUCGACAAUGAUGUCGCCGGAAACGGACGGAGAGGGGAGAGCAGCGGAUGACGGCGGCUUAUCACCGCUGCUUCCCGGCGAGUUUCUGCAGCGCGGAACUUAGCGAGAGAGAGAGAAACGAGAAUUGAUAAGAAGAGAGAGAUUUACUUUCGUAUGGGUGCUUGGGAGUGUGACCGAGAGAGAGAGAGAUGAGUGUAUUAUUGCUGAGAGAGAGAACCGUGUAUUUGGAGUUGGGCUCUUCAAUUUGUUUUGGGCUUUAAUUUAAUUGAGUUGGGCCGAAAAAUUUGGGCCUCCUAUUUAUUUAUUGGGCUUUGUUAUUUAUUUUCAGUGGGCUUGAGUUGGGCUGAGUUAUUUAUUAAUUUUGGGCCGAUUUUAAAUUAGGAAUUGGGCUUCGAUUUAUUUAAAUGGCCGAUUUUAAUUACUGAUUGGGCCUCCGAUUUUAUUUAUAUGGGCUUUGAUUUAAUUGUUGUUUUGAUUUGUAUGGGCUUCAUUUAAUUGAGUUGGACUUUAUUUAUUUUAAUAAUUGGGCCAUUACAUUGGGUCGGAGUUUAUUUAAUUAUGUUGGACUCCUUAUUUGGGCUUCGUUUCAGUGGGCCGAUUUUAUUUUAAAUUACAGUGGGCUUGAGUUGGGCCGAAAAUUUGGGCCUUUAUUUUAUUUUCUUUGGGCUUCAUAAUUAUUUAUUUUUGGGCCUUGUUGUAUUUAUUAUAAUUGGGCCUAAUUCAAUUAUUUUGCUUGGGCUUUAGUUUAAUUCAUUGGGCCUAAUUUAAUUAAUUCAUUGGGCCUAAUUUAAUUAAUUCAUUGGGCUUUGUUAUUUUAUUCCGAUUGGGCCUCCUAAUUAUUUUCUUUAGGCCUUGGUUAUUUAUUCAACUGGGCCCUAAAUUUUUUUUUACUUGAGUCCAUGAAUUACUCCAACUAAACUUUUCAAUUUAAUUAUUGGAAUGCCACGAUUUAUUUAAAUCAAGCCCAUAUUUGUUUAAUUAAUUAUUAGGCUGCCUUAUGUUGAGCCUUUAAUUAUUUAAUCUUAUAACAUUACUUGUUCCUAUUUAUUAAGCCCGAUUAAUUAUGAGGUUAUUAAGCGAAUAAGCCGAAUUAGUUAUUUCUUUUUCUAUUGACUACGAGGAGUGGGGUUUAUUUAAUUGGCGGAUUAGAACACCCUGAAGAGAACGGAUUAAUUUUUGUUAAUUAUCCGGCUUCAUGAGACGAGACUUAGCUUUUAUUUAAAUCCGAUAGCUUGGAUUAACAAUAGAAAUUCCCUGAUUAUUAUUUCAGAAUAAUAAUUCAUGCAUAAGGAUCAUGCAUCAUUAAUUCUGUAUUCUCAUUAUUUGAGGAUUUUACUCGAGCAGUAUCUUAUUUAUAUUCUCGUAAUAAAGGUCAAGCACGAGAUUAAUAAUCAGUUAAGGAGCUACUGUGCCACAGAAAGUUUCUAACAGGUGGGCAUUACUUUCAUAUAUAUCAAAUGAGUUUAAAUAUUACGUUCAAGCAAGUUAUUUCAUGACUAAAUUAAUUGAAGUUAUUUCAAAUAUUGUCUUGCCAUAAAAUAUUUAAAUUUCAGUAUGAUAUCUAUCUGAUGUGGCUUUUAUCAUGUAAUCGAAUUCGGGUCUUGAGCAGUUGAUAGCUAUCCUGCCAGGGCUAGUGUACACCAGUGACCGUGAGUCAUCUAGCGGGUUGGCCGGUCAAGUGACCGUGAGAGGUGGCCACCUCUCCGGCACAAAGUUUCAGAUAUGAUAGAUUACAAGAGAACUUAGACUGCAGUCGAACUUUAAAAUCACAAAUGAAUUUAGUAAGCUUGGGCCUUUUAGCGAAAAACUCCCUUGCUGUACUGUUUAUGAUGGCAUGACAAUUUACAGUUUUGAAGCAUGUAUUUUUAUACUUAGGCAUACGUGCCCACUGAGUACUUUUGUACUCAAGCCCUGCAUAUAUUUCUAAAUGUGCAGGUUGAGCAGCUGCAGAUGGUAAUGAAGUGACGAGCGGGAUUCUUUUGUCUUAUUAUGUAUUAAUGAACUCUAGGGUUACAUGUCUUCAUACAUGUAAUCAGAACCUUAUUCCGCUGCGUACUCAGAAGUUUUAUGUUUAUUUGGCUAAGUCAGAGAUAUCUGAACUUACUAGUUAUUUGAGUCUAUACGACUAAACUUCUGUUACAUUAUAAAUAUCCCUUUUGUUAAAUGAUGAAAUGCGAUCCUUCCUUGUUUGAUUAUCCCCUUUCUACCCCGCUUCUAAUCUCCCUCCAUUAGUCACGGUUUCCCCGGCUUAAUUAUCCUUAAUUAGGACCGGUCGUGACAGAGUGGUAUCAGAGCAGUUCAUUUGCUCUGAACCCUAGAGUUAGCCCAUUUUUCUAGUAUGAUCACUAGUAUAUAUGAGUCAGUCAACCAAAGCUCAUCACUUCAUCACAUCGUCAUGCUCAGCAAGAAAGAAGGUGGUAAUGAUUUUAAAACAUUGAGAAGUUCACGUUCUAUAUGAAUGUACUGAUGCUUACAUUCAAGUUUUAUGCUUUAUUGAUUGAUUAGAUAUCUCAAUGAACUUAGAUGCGUUAAGAAUGCAUGAUCACUGUUACGAGAAGAACAAUAGAAGCUAGAAACUCAGUUAUAUUUCACUAUAGCCAUGGUGAAGAGCUAAGAAAGAGGAAGAGAAUCCAAUGAAAGCAGUGCAAGCAGAGUGCCACGCACGAAUCACUGAAGCAGGCAUAGUUCUUCAUUCAGGUUGUUCACGCGUGACAGAACACCGAAUCGACUAUUGCCUUAUUUGAUGAUAGAUCACGUGAGUCAUUGCUCGUAGCGACGAGUGUGACUUAUGUAAUCAGUUAGCUCCGAAUCGACUAUUGCCUUAUUUGAUGAUAGAUCACGUGAAUCAUUGCUCGUAGCGACGAGUGUGACUUAUGUAAUCAGUUAGCUAUCGCAUAAUGAGCUAAGACUCAUUACUAACUCUCGAUUAUCAUCAGUUAUGACAUGAAGAGAACCUUCAUGAUUUAUGUUCGAACUUCAGAGUCAGACUCACAUGCAGUUAUAACACUUUGUGUAUGAUGUUAUAGCAUCGCGAUUAGAACUGCCAGCUUAUAGUUUCAGAUAUUCAGAACCUUUAUUAUUACAAUUACCUAUUAUAUUACACGUGAGCAUGAUUUAGAAUCCCUAUUGAUUACGAUCACCUGCUACAAAUCGAAAGGAGGAUAGGUGCCAUGGGUAACUAGAAGUUACCAACCAUUAUGAUUGACUAGAAAAAUCUAUACAAGUGCGUAAGACGAGAGGAGUUCCUGAAGAUGGUUUGGAGUUUAACAAGAGCUAGAAAUAUCGACAACGGUUCGAUGCUGAAACAAUGAGAUUGAAGAUUAUGAUGAGAGACUAAGCAGGUUAAGUAUGCAUACCUUAGUCGAUCAGAGACAUUCCCCAGUUAGAACAUUUUAGAUUAAACAUUCAGUUUAGUAGCCAGAAUGCAAGCAUUGACUAAGGUCAUUCCAUGAUUUAGUAUUUUGUGUGGUGACACAUACCUUGCAAAGAUGCUCAGAGAUGCAAAAUCUAUUUCCUGUAAAGGCGUGAGAGUGCUUCGAAUUAUAUGGUUGCAUUUCAAGCGCUAUGUGAAGGAACACUAAGUACUAGAAGUACAACAUUAAGAUCAUAUUGAUGAACAUUGUUGAGUAAGGUCGAGCCUACCUUAUUUCGCCUAUAGAAGAUGUUUAAGGAUUGCAUUAAACUAGGAGGCAGACUCCAAGUUUGAGAAGCUCUAGAAUAUUUUCAAGGACAUGUUCAAGAUGUUAAGAAGAAAGUGGUGAUUUUAGACCAAAUAUACCUUUUGCAGCCAAUGAACAAGAGUUACCAAGUUCGGAAAAGUAUUUCCGAGUGAUUGAGAAGUAGUUGUGUCGGACCUGGCCAGUCCACAUGGCCAAAAUCUCAGUAGUCGUCAUAUAUGGGUCUUUAAACCUAUAUAUUUUAAACCUUCAUCUGAAAAGCCAAACGGGUUCAGACUAUUAGGUCAUUUCGUUUCGACCUUUCAGUCAAUUCAUUUCUACCCUAUGGUUAUUCAUUUUCAAUUGUUUGGCAAAUUAUUGAAACACUUUGCCUAAUUGCCAUUUGUGAUUUGAAUCAUUGCGAUCUACUAGCUGUUGGUAGAUUUUCUGUGACCCAAGGAUAAACAGAUACUCAUCAGAUUAAAUCAGUCAAACACGUAUGCUUCAACCCAAGGGUCAAGCACGUAAUGCAUACAGACAAUCUCUUGUGCAUUUAGUAGGACGUUAUUUGUGUAUUUCGAAAACGAUGAUCAUUUCGAUGCUUUUGUAUGCCCCUAUGUUGGCUUAGUUAUUUUGACUAGUAUUAGUACGGAGACACGAAACCUUGGGGCGUUCUGUGACUGAGUACUUUUCAUGAUGACUUUGCAAGGUAGCCAGUUCAUCAUGUGUGGUACUUAGAUAGACCUUUGAAUCUAGACUUUUAUGAUGAUGUAAAGUCCUCAUUGAGGCAAUUUUCCCUAUGUUAUAUAUAGUGACCUUAUUGGUCUUUCACGACAAGUCGUCCCGCUAUGUUUUAAUUAUAUGAUCGCUUAAGUUUUAGCAGGAACAGAACUCGAUGAGUUAAGGAGUAACUAUAGAAAUGAUAGUAUGUCCUUAUUGCAUUUUAAUGCGCUGAUAACUUGUGUUUUUACUCAUUAGAAUGCCACCAAGACGAGGGCGUCCGAGAGGAGGGGGAAGGAUUCCCCGGAAUGAUGAGAGAGGCCCAGAAGCAGGGCCAGAACCUGAAUAUAGUUCAACCACCUGUUCAGCCAGAACGACGGAUUGAAGAAUUAUUCUUGCGACAGAACCCACCUACCUUCAACGGGACAGGAGACCCGGCAGAAGCUGAAACUUGGGUUCGUGUAAUACCCCGUUUCCUCGAGCUAAAUUUAGAAUUUAUUUUCGAACUUAGAAGUAAGAUGAUUCACGCCGGAUAUAAAGAAAAUGAAUUUAUUUUUUUAAUUCCAACAAAAAUAAUUUACAAAAACAUUUGUAAAUUUAGUUAUUGAAUUAAUAUGCAUUGCAUAUUUAUUUAAUUUAACAUUUAGCAUCUACACGAGCUAUUUGUUUAAGCGAACACUGAACGAUUAUUACAGUUUUCAUAGUACAAACCGGAAGACUUUUUAUUAUAUUUUUAUUUCACUUUCACUCACACUUUCCACUCUCCCCACUCACACUUUUCACUCCCACCCACUCACACUUUUCACUUCCACUCACCCUUUCCACUCUCCCCACUCACACGAUACCUUGCCCCCAUUCCCUUCCACUCACCAUUUCUCCUACAUACCAAGGAACUAAGUGCAGAGCUACAUCCACAGAAGUUCAGCUAUACCACACGGACUCCACAAACUCAGCUGAAAGCUCUAAAGACUUCAUCUACAAAUCACUCUGCCCAUUUUACCUCCAUUCACGGUUAGCACCCCAGAUUCAGUUUCAGUGAUUUCCUCCAGUACUCAAACCUCUAAUGUACAGCAGACAAUAAUUCAUGUUCUUGUGUAUGCACGUCACUUACUUUCACUUAUAAAUUGAAUGAAGACUUUUGAACAAAGCAUUCAUAUACAUGUGCAUACCAUCUGUGUUUACAUACUACAUAUGAAACAUGUUUUUCUUUAAUAAAAUGAAAAGAAAGGAUUUAGUCUUGAAGCCCUGUUUUAAAUCUUCGGUUUUGAGCGAAUGGGAAGGGCGCCGGUGGCAGCCCGCCUCAUCUGCUGCUGCUGUCGACAGUGGCGUGGUGGCUGCGACGCCGAGGGUGGCGCGGCUUGUCGCUGCUGCUCCUCCGGCGAGCACCACGGAGGGCGGCUGUUACCAGCCGAAGAGAGAAAGGCAGAGAGGGCGAUGGAAGAGAGGUGUGCUGAAGGUCGUGGCGUGGAGCCAAUGACCGCGGCUGCCGAACCUAGAACAUGGGGAGUUGAGAGAGCUGGGGUUGAGAAUCGAGGGAGGACGGAAGAGGGAGGAUUGGCGACGGCGGCGGUGGCUUGAUGCUCCUGCUGCUCGUCGAUUCAGAGAGAGUCGGAGUCACCGGUCGGCGGCAGCUUUUGUUGUUGCGUCGCCGGAGAAUAGAGAGAGUAUGAGGGAUGGCGUCUGUGGGUGUUGGUGCGAUGAGGGAGAUGGGAGAGGAGAGAGCCGAGCGUCGUCAGCGGCUGCCGCUGUUGCUUCGGCAAGCUUCGGCGACGAUGGUGGCGGCAUGAAGCUGCUGCCGUCGGCCAGAGUUGAGCAAGGGCUCGGUGAGCCUGAAUCCGAGAGGGAGACAGACGGUGGUUGGUUCCAGAUGCUGCGGCUGUCGGGUUGUGCAGGUAGAGGGAAAACGAGGGAGAAGAAGAUGGGGGAGAGGGAGAGGUCCAGUCGCCGGCUCUUCGCCGGAGGAAGGCUGCGGCAGCGGGUUGGCGUGAACCGUGAGAGAGAGAGAGAGAGAGAUUCAGCUUUUGUGUGAGUGUGUGCGUGUGUUUUUCGUGAAGAAGAGUGAUGGAGCGGCGUGAGUUUGAGGAAGAAUAGAUGUAGGUUUUGGUUGUUGGGCUUGAAAGUUGGGUUUGGGUGAUGGGCUCUCAUUUGGGCCGAUUUAUUUCAAUGAUUUGGGCCGAGUAUUUGGGCCGAUUUUUAUGAGUGAUGGGCCGAUUUUUAAAUAGAUUUGGGCUGCGAUUUUUUUAAAAGCCUGGGCCGAUUUUAAUUUUAUUUAGCUGGGCUCGAUUUAUUUUAUUCAGUUUGGGUCAUUCCUAUUUUAUUGAGUUGGGCCUCAUCUUUUAAAUUUAUAUGGGCUAUUAUUUAUUUAAGCAUGAGCCCUAUUUCAUCUAUUUAAAUGGUUUCCUAUUUUAAUUAAUUGAACUAUUAAUUAGUUUAAUUAAUUUAUUUCAAAGACUAGUUUUCAUAAUAAUAUUAAAUUAUUAUUAUGUGCAUAUUUUAAGUAAAUUACUUAUUAUAUGCUAAGCAUGACAUGAAAUUGCAUUUUACUUGCAAUAAAAGUAUUUAAUUGGCUUUAAUUAUAAUUCCAAUUAUUAAAGAAAUAUGAGUAAGAAUAUUGUUGGUGUUCUUAACUCAAGAGAAAUGUUUUCAAUUAUUUAUUCAUUAAAUUUUGAAAACCCGGCUAAGUGAAUCAUAGAAUAUUAAGCAANUUAAAUGGUUAAAAUAAUGUUUUAUUUCAUCUCAAUGGAUUUUAAAAUGUUUUAUUAUUUAUAAAUGAAUAAUGGAAUUUCUUAUUUAUUUACAUGAAAAAAAUGAAAUGUAUAGAAUGUUAUAAAAAUGGUGCAUGAUUUCUUUUAUGUUGAUGUGAACUUGUGAUUUUAAUGAUACUAAACUUGAGGAUUUUAUUUCUUUCUGUUUAUUGUUUACGUGAUUACGUGAUAUUAUGUGGUUAGUCACGAGGUUAUGUUGGUUUUCGAUUGUCUUUAAUGGAACGGAUUAUGGAUGCUAGAACCCUAAAACACUAAAAGAAAAUCAAGUAAGGAUAUUGUUGGUGUCCUUAACUCAAGAAUUUUAGUUUUCAAUUAUUAUUCAUUAAAUUUUUGAAAACCCGGCGUGAUAAAUCAUAGUAGUUUAGUACACUCACUAAGAAGUAAGAUUAGCUUCACGAGACCUAUUAAGAAUAGAAUUUCUUGUAGGCUUUGUGACCAGGGGGAUUAGCGCUGCUUUCCCAAGACAGGUUUAUAUGUGAUUAUGAUCUUCAGGCUUUGCCUAACCAGGUGGGCUUACUUUCCAAAUGUAUAAAGUAUGAUUGAGUUAUUAAGCUCUAAAUGUUUCAAUGAAAUGCAAACUGUUUAUUUAAUGAAAUGAAAACUGUUUAUCCAAUAAAAUGUUUAUGUGCACUCUGCUCUGUUUAAGGCUCGCAAUUCAUGGAUCGAUCGAGGUUCUCUUAUGGCCUAACACGUUAUUUGAGAAUUGUGUACACUUGUUAGUUGUUUCGGUGGGUUGAUCUCCAUCGGGCACUAAUUCAUGUAAGAGGCGUUAUAAGGGUGCUUGGCUGGAUGUGUUCCGGAGCAUGUAUCAUGUAAGGCCUGCCUGGGUAGCGUCCCGAGGUCAAUUCAACUUGUCUGAGUUACGUCCUCAGGGCAAGUGUCAUGGGAGAAAUGGAUCCGUCGAUGGCUAAAAGGUCCGGGAUCACAGCGAGUAACAGAAAGGGAGUGUGACAUGUGCGCACAAAUGAAAGAAAAUGUUUUAACAUGCUUAGAAGUACUUCUUUCAAUUUAAAACCUUCUAAGUCAUGUCAAGUAUGAUUGGAUAAACUGCUCUUUACGAAAAUAUGAAAUGUUUCAGAAAAUGCAUGCCCACUAAGUACAUUAGUACUUAGCCCAAAAUUACUUUCAAAUGUUUUCAGGUUGGCUGGCUGGUGCUGACGGGACGGAGCUGAGGCUAGAGUUAAAAUUUCUAUGUUAGACUUCCGCUGUAGCAAUUACUCAUAUCAGUCUUUUGUUUUUACAACUUAAGAUCUUCAUGUUAAAUUUCAAAUGAUAUACAUGACCGAGCUUAGACUCUUCACUACUAAAUUUAUGCUAAUGAAUGUCGGUUGUCAGAAGCAUGAAACAAAACUUGUGAUCCAAAGGGGCAUAGCCCGAAUUUCAAAUCCUAUUUCGGUUUUAACAAGGUUGUUCCUUGUUUAUUUCUAUGAAUUAUUCACACCUCGAUCAUAUUUAUUCCUUCAAGAAUUGGGGUGUGACAAAUUAUCUACUACUCAUAAUCUUAUUGAUAGAAUCUCUAAAAAAUUAGAAAGUCCUUCUAGUUCUGGAACAAAAAAUAUUAAUUGUUUAGAAAAUCAAGAAAAUAAUUCUGAUAAUAAUAAAAUCAAUAGAAUACAUUUUAAAUUUGGAACAAAAACUAUUAUAAUAAUAGAUAUACUCCUCCAGAUAUUCAAUUCGAGGAAAGACCUCAAUUCAAAAAUAAUUCCAAAUAUGAUGGUCACUCCAUUCACGAAUGGAAUAUAGAUGGCAGAUCAGAAUAUGAAAUUCUUAAUAUACUUCAAGAAAUGGGCAUGGGCAGAAUUGCUUAUAAAGUUCAAAAUUUAACUGAAGAAAAUGCUGCAGCAUUAAUAGUCACGGGUUUUACCGAACAACUUAAAAAUUGGUGGGAUAAUUCAUUAGACAUCAAUGAUAAGCAACAAAUACUUCAACACGUAACCACAUUUGAAGAAGAAGACGGUACCUUUGUUGAUAAAAACAAUGCUUGUGAUUUCUUAAUAAUCACCAUACGUAUGUAUUUCAUAGGAAAUCCUAAAGAAGAAUUAGAUUCUACUCAAAUAGUUCUAUCUAAUCUCAGAUGUCCUACCCUAUCUGAUUAUAGAUGGUAUAAAGAUGUCUUCUUAACUCAUAUCCUUAAAAGAAGUGAUUGCAAUGCUUCAUUCUGGAAAGAAAGAUUCAUAGCAGGACUCCCCAAAUUAUUUGGGGAAAGAAUACAUCAAAAACUCAAAGAGGCUGUUGGGAACCUUGUGGAAAAUUCUAAUCCUUGUUUUGAUGAUACCAAAAUUCAUAGGUCUUAAUUGUAAUAGACUAGAACAGUUUUGAACUCAAGUGUUAGAGUUCGUUUCAAGUUUAGUAUGCGGUUCUGAAGACUGAAAACUGAAGGACGAAGGACUGAAGACUGAAGACUGAAGAUACCAAUUGAAGUAUCAGUUGAAGAAUCAGUUUGGAACUGAUUACUUAAUGCGUGCCACAGACUGAUACUAAAGUCAAGUAUCAGUUGAACAUUCUUCCUCGGACUGAUCUUCCAACGUUCAAAGGAAGCCACGUACUCACAAGAGUACAGCCGCAUUAAAUGCAGAGAUCUCAGGAUCUUAUCUCUGCAGAGGUCAUUCCUAUUUGGUGGUUACUUUUUCAGAGACGUCACAUCUCCUGUCCCUCAAGAGAGCCGUUUCCGCCAGACAAGGAACCUCGAUGAUUGAAGCCUCAACCUAAAUUCGAAUUGCUCUCCAACGGAAGAAAUCUUGAGGACGUUCUACGCCAACGGAUCUAUGCAAGAGUUCUCCUACAAAUAGCGCUCGAGGAUCACUUCAACCUUCACCGAUUCAACGACAUAAGCUGAAGCUCUGCCAAAAUCGCUACUCAGCCUAAAGCUCAACCUCCCCAAAGCUUGAAUCGAAGAAGAGAAUUCCAAAGCCAAAAUCAGUCACUGCUGAUUACAUACAUUCUCUUAGACCUUAAGCAAACCUUUGUUUACCCAGAAGCUAAGGUCAAACUUGCUACAAAGAACUUGUUCUUUGCAGUAUAGUUGGCACUCGUUCAAACCUCCUUUCCAAAAGAAAGAUUUGAGUGUUUUGAGUGAUUCGGAGUUCAGAAAGGUUUUCUGUCUCUGAGAGUCUUAGCGCGGGUUGUGCUAAGCAAGAGAAAUCCGACACGAGUGAAGUGUGGGUACUGAAGAAGGGUUUUCUUCAGUGGUACGGUUGUGUGCACCCGGCAAGCACACGGUUUGGUUUGCAGUGCACCUGUUAAUGAGAUGGUUGAGAUAGUCCGCCAAAUCAGAGGGCGAAUAAAGGAGGCACAAGAUAGACAGAAAUCUUACGCUGAUGCACGUCGAACUGAAUUACAGUUUGAAAUAGGAGACAAGGUCUUCCUAAAGGUAUCUCCUACCAAGGGGAUAACUAGGUUUGGUGUCAAGGGAAAACUUAGGCCCCGAUUCGUAGGACCUUAUGAGAUUUUGGAGAGAAUAGGCCCAGUAGCCUAUAGGUUGGCGUUACCGCCAAGCUUUGGAAACGUUCACAAUGUUUCCACGUAUCACAACUCAGAAAUACGUUUUCGAUCCAAAGCACAUAAUCCACCAAGAAGAGAUGAUCCUUUGCCCAGACUUGAGCUAUGAAGAGAGACCAGAGGCCAUUCUAGAUCGAAAAGUACAACAACUCAGGAAUAAGGCAAUCACAUCAGUGAAAGUCUUAUGGAGACACCACGGACAAGAGGAAGCCACGUGGGAGCUUGAAGACAAAAUGAAGGAGAAAUACCCCGAACUGUUUUAGAAGAAAUAUGCAAAUUUCGGGACGAAAUUUUUGUUAAGAGGGGUAGUAUGUAGUGACCCGCUCUUUUAUAUAUUUUAAAUCCAGUAAUGAGUGUUUAUUUUUGUUCAUCAGUGAAUGAAAACGGUUAUUAUCCUGAUAUGAAUUCAGCUUAUGAUCCUGAAUUCAUAUUAUUAAAGCAGUCAAUGAUAUUAUUUCAGAGUUAUAACUGACUUAGCAAAGUCACGUUAUUAUUUUUAAGCGAGAUGGAAUUAGAUUUUAUUUUUACUCAAGUCGUGGAUUAUUUCUGACUCGUGAGUUAAUUAAAUCUGCGGAUUUAAUUUAAAUAUUAGAAAAACAAACGAAUUAAAUCUACGGAUUUAAUUUAGAUUCAUUUUAUAACUUAUCGAUUUUAGCGAGAUAUCACAUGUCGAAAUCGAGAUUUAUUUAAAUAAACAGUACCAAGCAGAUACGAGCACGCGAUCCACUUUACAGUUACAGAAUCACCGAGACAUAGAAAAUACAUCAUUAAUCCUAUACUAUAUAUUUUUUUCUUCUUUCUUUUUCUUUCCACUACCUUUGCUCCCCACAUCAUUUUGCCACCAACUCCACUUCAUUUUGCCACCAUUACAACGCCAAUAAUUCCUUCAUCCUCCACUUAGCUCUCCACUCCACCAAACUUCCCACUUACUCCCUCCAUGUCCUUUAACAUUUCAGUCAGUAAACUCCCUUCACUCAUUUCCUUUGACACCAGAAACCAGAAAAUUUGAAGGAAAGAGAUAGAGUUUGUAAAACUGCUGCCAACUUCAAAGGAGGUAAGUCUUGGCUAAAUUUUCCCCAAUUCCUCCUUUAUUCACCUGCAUUUAUUAAAACAACAGCACCUUCAAAUUCAUUUCAGUUAUUUCACACUUCAUUCGAUUCAACAACAAGCAAUCAAUUCGAU
rnacentral:lncRNA from 1 species